GACAGCAGCCAUAUCACCCUGUCACCCAAGACUGGUUGCCCACUGUAGCUAAGCAGGGUUGAGCUGGUCAGUACCUGGAUGGGAGACCUCCUGGGAUAACUAGGUUGCUGAUGGAA
rnacentral:rRNA from 1 species